UGUUUAAAUGUCACGUGUCUCAUGCAUCAUUUAUCAUGGUUGCUAUUUAGUCUCUGUGUCUUCCAAGGGAAGAAUAUUAGCUCCAUGACACUAGGCACCUGGGUUAUCUGUUCACAAGCAGGAGCACGUGCUCAGGAAGUGAACAGUGACUAAUCGGGUGGGUGUGCUUUCUUGUGUAGGCUGAGCACUUGGGCAAGAUGACAAUAAGUCAAAGGAGCCAUGGGGACAUAUGGGAUCAUGAACUAUUUGAUCACGUGAGAAGACAGAAAACUAAACAAGAAAGUGGAGUGUUCUGAAUGCCAAGACCAGAGUGCUGUUGUGAGUGCAGGAGACUGUGCUAGGUCAUCCUGCAGAGAACCCAAAGUGAUGAGAACCAGGAAGAACCAGUGGUUUUGUCUGGGGAGGGGGCUAAGAGAAGGCUACAGCAGCUACAGGGCAGCUACAGCAGAGAGAGUGGAGUGGACUUCGGUCCAUGCAGGAAUGACAGAGCUGAUAGGACCAUGAGGAAGUCUGCCAGGGAACAGGCAACAGGCAGCUGCCCAUCAGCUGGCAGCUGUUCAUUCAGUAGAGAAGUGUGAAUUGUCAUUUACCACUGUCUCAAGAGGAGCAUUCUCUCACUCUUCUUUUGUUCUGAGGACAAAGAGCUCCCAGUUUCACGAGUGCCCCAGUGAGGCUUCCAAGAGCCUGGGCUGGACAGUCAGAACCAAUACAAGAACCAACAGGGAGAACCAACUCAUGAAAGUUGUCCUCUGCCUCCUACACGUGAGGCAUGACACACUUCACAGCAAAGAAACAUAAAAAAGAAAAAUGAGUGAAAAAAAUUUUAGCAAGUCUUUAUUCUGUGUUUAAAUAAUUUUCUUUCUUUCUUUCUUUCUUUCUUUCUUUCUUUCUUUCUUUCUUUCUUUCUUAUAUGUAAGUACACUGUAGCUGUCUUCAGACACCCCAGAAGAGGGCGCCAGAUCUCAUUAUGGAUGGUUGUGAGCCACUAUGUGGUUGCUGGGAUUUGAACUCAGGACCUUUGGAAGAGCAGUCAGUGCUCUUAACUGCUGAGCCAUCUCCUCAGCCCCCUUAAAUAAUUUUCUUAUAACUAAUAAGGUUUUUAAGUUAGGACUCAAAAAAUGUCCAUGCAUUACCUCAAUGUUCUUUCCUCUCUCUUCAGUUUGCGUCUGAUACCUAGACAUAGUCAGCCUGUGAUAGAGCUGCAGAUGAAGGGGCCUCUUUGUAACAAGUACCACUCAUCUUCCUCUGGUACCAAUCUCCUGGCUUGGUGCCAGUUCAGCUUCCUAGCCAACUGGACGCAGCCUCCUCCAAAGGACAGCAAACUACAGCACCACAGCGGGUAAAGUCACUAGACAUUUGAAAGCCAUCUUGGGCCAUACUUGGACAUGUAGGUUUCUGUCUACACUAAAACAGUGCCUGCUAUUUCUAUGGUUUGGAUGUAAUUUGUCUCCCUGAACCGUCAUGUAUUAGAACCUGGCCCCAGAGAAGUAGUGUUGGGUGGUGGUGUGGAAACGUAAAGGUAUAGGGUCUGGAACAGGCUCAUGUAUUUAGGAAGCUGAGGCAGGAGGAUCAGCAGUUCAAGACCAGCCUGGAUGAUAGAGUGAGACAUGCUACUGAAAGAGUGUAAGGCAUUCUGAAGGAACUGAGCUCUGUGUGACACUGAGUUUGAGUGACCGGCGACGUCAAAGCCUGAAUCACUUCUGAGUUCCGGUAUGAUCAUGUGACUGAUCCCUUUUUACACAUGCCCCAUGCUCCAUGGUGGUCUCUGCUAUGAAGCCUUCAAAGCCGGCAGUGUGCUCCUUGGAUUUCCAGACUCCUAAACUGAGCUGAACAAACAACAGCAACAACAAUCUCGUCUCUGGUAUUUUAUUAUGAUAACAAAAACUAGAAUAAUCAAUCCAUAUAGCAUAGAGGGUAGCUUUUGUAUCCAUAAAUUUAACCUGAGAAAAAGCUGGCAAACAGAUGAGGUGUAAUUAAGAGAUUUUAUUUUAAUUACUUGAUUGAUCAAUUACUUAGUCUUUAUGUUUUUAUUUCUAGAUAAGUUUUAUAUAGUCCAGACUGGCUUCAAAUUCUUUAUAUACCUGAGGUCAACAUUGAACUCCCAAUUCUCUUGCCUCCACCUGUCUCAAAAACAAACAAAACAAAACAAAACAAAACACAGUAGCAAACAAAAACCCCAAGCAAAAUAACAGUGAAAUCAGUUAGGGUGCAAGCAUUCUUGGGCAUAGAUUCCUUGAAUAGUGUUUGAAUUGUUUUCCAGAACCCACUCAAGCCUGUAAUUCACAGGUAGACCAGAAGUUUCAGGUCAUCCUUAACUGUAGAGUUUGAGGUCAGCCUAGGCUACACGAGGACCUGUCUCAAAAAUUAAAACAAAUGGAAAUGUGUAUAGGCCAUAAUCACUGACUAGAAAUGAAGCAAAACGAGAAACAAGUACGAAAUAUUACAACACCCAUGCUGGAAAAAGCACGUUUCUAACUGGUAAAAACAGACUGUUGGAAAUAACCUAAAUGUUAAACGAAGAGCAUGAAGUCAGCUUACGCUGUGAAGCCUGUCUUCUUAUGCUGUUGACUUGAGACUGAAAGAACCUAGUGGGGAAACCUCCACUCAAUUCCCCAUUCGGUGUGCACCCAAGAAUCACGAACAGAACAGAACGCCUUGAUGUAAAAACAUGAGGUAGUUUAAUGGCGGAGCUCCGGGUCGAAACGUAUCUCACACAGGAGACAGUGGUUUUGACCACGAGGCUUGGAAGCUAGGGGUUUUUAUAGAAAAGGGGUGGGGCUGGGGGAGGAAUUGGCUCGGUUUCACAUGAUUGGUUCAUUUAAACAUCAUUUAAACUGACUGUCAGAAGGGCGGGAGAUAUACCGGACCAGUCUAGCAUGUCAUUUUAUUUAUCUUUAUGGCUAAGCAGCCUCAGGAAUGUCUUAACUACGGGCCUGCCCGGGCAUGUCCUGGUCUGUUCUGCUAUGUUCUCAGCCCCAGGUUUCAAAGCUCACAAACAACUCUUUGGACUAUUUGACAUAAAUUACAUGAAUCACAGGUCUCAAGUUUUAUUUUCUUUCAAGACGAACAAUUAGAAGCUGAUGUGUUCCCAACAAGUUUAACUUCUAAAGUCUGACUUGCAAAAGCCCUGGAGAGCCUAGGAUUUGCGACCUGGAAAGUGCCUUGCCAGCUGCGCCAUGCACUGACCCAGAUGUCUCCAGCUUGCAAGCUCGAGGCUUCUACCCAGAACAAAGGCCUACUUUGUUUUCUGAAGGCAAGUGCUGGAUUCGAGGAGAGGGCUGUGCAGUGUCGGAGGGAGAUUGUACUUGGGUCUAGGCCCUGUUGUCUGGAGUUGCUAGGCAACAUUAAAAAGGUGAGAGGAAAUGCAGUCUGUCCUACCGCUAACUUGUUUGUGAGCAGCUGCAAGUGAGACCUAAUCUCUGAAGUGAUAUUUGUUUCUAGAAUCUUUUUUACCUCCCUCCUAAAUUUAAUCUUCCUUGCUUUCUUCCUUUCCCCCUCCCUUCUGCUCCUUCUUCCCUCCACCCCUUCUUUCCCUCCCUCCUUCUUUCCUCCCUCCCUUUCUCCCUCCCUCCUUCUUUCCUCUCUCCCUUCCUCUCUCCCUCCUUCUUUCCUCCCUCCCUUCCUCCCUCCCUCCUUCUUUACCUCCCUCCCUCUUCCCUUCCUCCUUCUCUUCCUUCUUCCUCCUUUUCUCUUUUGACACAGUGUGUAAGGUAGCCCAGGCUACCCUCAGCUCCAUUAUGUAGCCUGGGCUAUUCUUGUACCCCUCAUCUUCCUGCAACAACCUUCCAAGUGCUGUGAUUACAUGCAUGCAUUACCAUGUCUUCUAAACUUUGUUACCAUAAAUUUAAACAGACUCUGAUGUGCACUGCUCCCAUGGAUCGUUGGUAAUUAGGGGACAGACCUCGAGAGCACCGGAUACUGAGCUAAUGGCAAUUACAAUCCAAGAAAUAAGACCACGUCCACUCUCUGUCACCACUGUGUCUCACACCAUCAAGGGGGCCAUGAGGGCUCUGACUGGUCUGGAAUGUGCUGUGCAGACCAGGCCGACCUAGAAGUCAAGCACAGAGAUGAAAGGCACACACCACCACCCUUAGUUUAAUUUCAUUUUGAACACUGAGUUGCUGCAUCGUUCUUCAGGCUGCCACGAAGAACUAAGACUUUUGUCUCCUUGUAACUUUUGUUCUUCUGGCCCUAACAUGGUGCUGGUGAGAUUGAAGUCAAAUAAUUUGAGUUGGCUGUAAAGUUGAACAUUUCACUGUGAUGAAUAUGUGUGGUUUCAUAUUGCCUUCUGACCGGGCAUUUGGUAAGCAUUUUAUGUUCCCUUGGUUGUUCCUCUUUUGUACCUUGUACGAGUGCCAGUCUUAAAUUUGCCAGAGAGAGAAAAAUGCAACUGAAAUAAGUCAGGUAAAGAAAAAAGAUUGUGUAAUUGCAAGAUCCUGUGAGGUGGAGGGGGGGAGAGGAAGAGGGAGAGGGAGAGGGAGAGGGAGAGGGGGAGGGGGAGGGGGAGGGGGAGGGGGAGGGGGAGGGAGAGUUUAAAAUUUUUGAGAUUGGGCGGGCGAGAUGGCUCAGUAGGAAAGGUAUCUGAUGCUAAGCCUGGUGUUCAUCCCCAAGUCCUACCACGUGGUAGAAGAAAACCAUCCUGAAAGUCGUCCUCUGACCUCCACAUGUCAACACACAAAAUACAUAAAUCAAAUUUAAAAUGUUCAACAAAACCCUUGAGAUAGGCCCUUGUUACACAGAUUCAAAUUCUUGAUUCUCCUGCCUCAGUUUUCCCAGUGCUGAGAUGCCAGGCAAGAACCUCCAGCUCUGGCUAGAGGCAGCUUUUGAUCCAGCCAGAUCCAAACUCAGACAUUCCAGUCAUGGAAGUCUUACUUCCAGCAAGACAAAAAAAGCUAUACACAUAUUUGAUCAGGAAAAAAAAAAAAAAGCCUAAAAAAUGCUUUGCUUCUAUGAGUGAUUGGAAUAAAGGCUUACCAGCAGGGAACUCCCCAGCACUACAACCCCAAUCACUGUAAUCUUUAAUAUUGAAAUCUCCCAGGUCGUCCCUGGAGCUCGAACUCCAGGAAGUCACAGUCAAGAGAUUCAAAUCCUAAAACCUAAAUCUAGACCUCAACCGGAAAUUCCCAUGGUGGGAAAACUGCUGCAUAAAAGGGCAGUAAGUCUGGGGCGGUGGUGGGGGCGGGGGGGGGGGUUGGGGGAAGGGAUGGGGGGAAGGGAUUAGCUGCUCACUAUGGCAGGAAUGAAACUUCAGUGUAUUUAUUAUCUGCAUUGACAUCCCUUCAAGUUUUUAAGGCACUUACAGUGUGUUUGUGUGACGAAGCCAGAAAUGUUAACUGGUUCCAAAAUAAUGAUGUGAGGAGCAACAAGAUGGACAACUACUGCAGUUUAGUCACCGGCCAUUUUUCUGUCAACUGUGCGGUCUGUGUGUGAAUACAUGCAGGAUGGACUUUAGUCUAUUCAAAAAAAGAAAAAUGUGCAUGUGUGAUGUAGAAGAUGGAAAAAGUAGGAGUGAAUAUCAAAUCAUAGAAAAAAAAAAUUAAAACAAGCAGUAUGAGGCUGGGGGAUGGCCCUGCAGUUAGAGCACUGGCUGCUCUUGCAGAGGACUUGGUAUUUGGUUCCCAGAACCCACAUUGGUCACAAUCAUCUGUUCUCCAGUCCCAGGGGAAUAUGAUGACUGCUUUUGGCUUCUGAGGCAUAUUGUACAUGUGCAUACGUGUAGGCAAACACUCAUAGGCAUAAAAAUAAGUUUGGGGCAGGGCGUGGUGGCGCACGCCUUUAAUCCCAGCACUCGGGAAGCAGAGGCAGGUGGAUUUCUGAGUUCGAGGCCAGCCUGGUCUACAAAGUGAGUUCCAGGACAACCAGGACUAUACUCAGAAACCCUGUCUGGAAAAAAAAAAAAAAAGUGUGGGGAAAAAACAAUUACUACCAUCUAGAAGACAACUGAUGAUUUUUCUCCUCCUGAGAGCCAAACCCCACUAACCCCCCAAAAAAGAAAAAAAAAAAGCAGAUAUUCAUCUGGAUGCAAGACUUUUAUAAAAUGUAACGAUAGUUGCCCACUGCUACAGAAGUACCUCCAGGUGGCUGCCUACAGCCCAUCCCCACAACACACUUGAUUUUUUGGUUUUUCAAGACAUGCUUUCUCAGGUUAAUAAAUAAAUGUGUAUUAGUAUAUUUAAUAAAAGUUAGAAAAAUUAGAUUGUUUUGAGUUUUGUAUGUAAAAUCAACUGUUCAUUGAAUUUUCCUUUGUUUCUGGACUUUGAAUUCUGAUUCACUGAUCAAAAAUGUAUCUCACUUAUGUAGAUAAAUUCUGUAAUACAUAAAAUAUGUGUUAUGUACAUUAAAAAAAAAAAAAAAGACAUGCUUUCUCUGUAUAGCCCUGGCUGCCUGAAACUCACUCUGUAGAUCAGGCUGGCCUAGAACUCAGAAAUCCACCUGUCUCUGUCUCCCAAGUGCUUGGAUUAAAGGCUACAACAACAAUACACUUUUUUUUCUUUUCUUUUUUUCUUUUUCUUUUUCUUUUUCUUUUUUUUUUUGAGACAGGGUUUCUCUGUAUAGUCCUGGCUGUCCUGGAACUCACUUUGUAAACCAGGCUGGCCUCGAACUCGAACUCAGAAAUCUGCCUGUCUCUGCCUCCCAAAUUCUGGGAUUAAAGGUGUGGGCCACCACUGCCCAGCAACAAUACACUUUUUAAUAUGCUAAACUUUCUUUUAAGCUUUAUUUCUUGUCUUAGUUUCUCCCACAUAGUAUUAAACCUUCAACUUCACUUUUUGCAGCUCACUAUGUUACAUAUUUCCUCUUCAGGUCUUCUCAGAUAUUAGAUGCCCUAUUUUUUUUUUCUGUUAUUUUGUGUGUGUGGCGGGGGUUGGGGGGGUGGUGGUAGGUGUGUAUGUGUUCAGGGCUGAAUUAGACAUGGUCUCUCUAUGUUUUCUUGGCUGUCCUGGAAUUCACUAUGUAGAUCAGGCUGGCCUUGAACCCACAGAGAUCUACUUGCUUCUGCUGAGAUUAAAUAUGUCUAGCCUCUGGAUGCAAAACCAGUUCUGUGAAGAAAUGCCACGCACGCACACUCCAGUGAAGUCUGUUUGACAGACUGAGAAGCCUGGGAGCACUCACGAGGCAAAGAGUUUCACAGACACUCACCUCCUGGAACCUUGGCGUUCUCAUUAACCCGUAUACGCAUACCCUAUCCCCACGUUAGUCUGGUGUAUGGAUCCACGUGCUCUCUUCAAGUAUUAUCUUAUUAUAAGUGCCUUUUAAGAUUGAAUUCUGAUAUAGCUAAGCCUUCACCAGUGUUCCAACGUCCUAGAAAGUCCUUGAGCUGACCAUGGGCUUGGAAUUCAGUAAGAAUGUUGCCUGUUCAGUGACAUUCAGAAUUGCCUCUGGUAUUACACUAUCACUUAGAAUAAAAGCCAAGUUGCUCCCAUAUACAGGAAUUUACAAUGGUUUAGGAAGUAGAUGGGGCUGUGGUUUUAGAGUAUUGCAUUAUUCAUGAGAUGGUUAGCUAGAAUGGAACUUCCUAAUUAGAACCAUGACUUGAGUGUGAAAGCCCUUGCUCUAGGAGUGUAAAGACCUCACACUUGGCAUCUAAGACUAUAGCUGACCUUAGAUAGGGCUGACUUUGUCUCAGUUAUUUUAUUGCCCAGUUCCUGCCAGCCUUUGCGUUUUCAUUCCUUUGUUUUGUGUAAGAGUCAUUAAGCAUCCGCAUCCAGUAACCUCAUUUGUACCUUGCCGAUGUGUCACCUAACUUCCCUAUUUUCUUCUGUAUAAAAAGUUUGAUGCUCAAUUUGACAAAUUACACUCAGAUUCUACACAAUCUUGUGUGUUGGUCUGUCAUUCCCUCCAACUCCUUGCCCAUCUGCACCCAGAGACCCAUUCCAUGCAGACAAAGGGACCCAGAGGGUCUGCGGCAAAGAAGCAUUGUUGUAGUUGAUUUAAUGGUAAAAAUCUUAAAACCUCAGCAGGGGCAUGGUGGCUCAUGCCUUUAGUCCCCAACACUCCAAGGGUAGAGACAGACAAAUCUCCAAGUUCCAGGCUAGCCUGCUCUUCAAGGCAAGUUGGAGGACAAGCAGAGCUAACAGAGAAACUCUGCCUCAAAAACAAACCAAACCAACAAACAAAUGUCAAAAUUUCCUUUUAGACAAAGAGAUUAUUUUUUGUACAUCUGCACUUGGGAAAGAUAAUGUUUCUUGGCUUUUUGAGUAACUGCAUAAACAGUGUGUAUGUGGUAUGACGAAUUGUGUGUGCAUGUGCAUGUGUGUGUUGUGUGUGUGUUGUGUGUGUGUAUGUAUAUAUGUGUGUGUGUGCAUGUGUGUGUGUUGUGUGUGUGUGCGUGCAUGUGUGUGUGUGUGUGUGUGUGUGUGUGUGUGUGUGUGUGUGUGCUUUCUUGUGGUGCUGGGGAUUGAACAGAACACUGCCCAUGUGCUAGGCAUGUGCCCUACCUAAUACUGAGCAAUAUCCAUGCUCCCUAGUGAGCUUUAUUUAUCUUACAAAACAUGCUAAUUGCUCAUCAACCACAUUUAUAAAGAUGCACAAAAUUAUUAAUCAAGAGAAAUGUACAUAUACAUUUUGCAUUUUUUGUUUGUUUUAUGAAAUGGGGGUUUCACUUUAUAGCAUUGUCUGGCCUGGAACUCCCCAAGUAGGACCAGGCUGGCCUUGAACUCAUAAAGAUGUUCCUGCUUUAACCUCCCAAGGGCUGCGAUUAAAGUAUGUGCCACCACUCCCAUCCUUGCAUUUUUUUUUAAAAUUUAUUUUAUGGGCCUGAGUGUUUUGCCUGUGUAUAUGUCUGUGCAUCAUGUGUGUGCCUGGUGUCUGUGGAGCCAGAAAAGGGUGUCAGGUCACUGGGAUCGGUGUUGCACACAGUUGUGGGCUGCCAUGUGUUGCUGGGAACUGAAGCUAGGACCUCUGAAGAGCAGCCAGUACUCAUAACGGUUGAGCCAUCUCUCCGCUCCCCCGAACCCUGCACCCCACAUCCGCUGACAUGUUGAUAGUCCAGGCUGGACUUGAACACGUUACAGAACUGAGGAAAACCCUGAGCUUCAGCUCUUCUAAGGUCUGUGUGUUUUGUAAUUUUGCAUUUUGAACAAUGUAUGAAUAUGGCUCAUCUGCUCACAACCAUUAUAACCAUGGAAUUCUCUUUAGUACACCUGUAUGUUAUUGUACAUACUCGCUCUCUCCAUGAAUGUGUGUGUGUUAUACUAUUUUUUCCUGUGUGACAUGACUUAUAAAAUAGUCUAUUGCAUUUUUACAUUUCUCAAAUAAAUCUCUUCUUAA
rnacentral:lncRNA from 1 species